ACUCCUACGGGAGGCAGCAGUGGGGAAUAUUGCACAAUGGGGGAAACCCUGAUGCAGCCAUGCCGCGUGUGUGAAGAAGGCCUUCGGUUGUAAAGUCACUUUCAGUAGGGUAGGAAGGUAGUGUAGUUAACACCUGCAUUAUUUUGACGUUACCUACAGAAGAAGCACCGGCUAACUCCGUGCCAGCAGCCGCGGUAAUACGGAGGGUGCGAGCGUUAAUCGGAAUUACUGGGCGUAAAGCGCAUGCAGGCGGCCUGUUAAGUCAGAUGUGAAAGCCCGGGGCUUAACCUCGGAAUUGCAUUUGAAACUGGCAGGCUAGAGUCUUGUAGAGGGGGGUAGAAUUUCAGGUGUAGGCGGUGAAAUGCGUAGAGAUCUGAAGG
rnacentral:rRNA from 1 species